ensembl:lncRNA
AUGAUCGCUGCAGACUUUGGUGAAGUGCAGAUUAAGGGUGCAAUGGGGGCGUGGUCAACUUCCGUACUUGAGAAUCGGAACAACUGCACUCGCACCCCUGGCCAGGAAUGUGAAAUUGAAGGGCGCAAGGGUGGUGGUGGUGGGGUGACUGGGAAGGAGGGGGUGGGAGAGGGGAAACCUCCUCCUCUGUCUGACUACACAGCCUAUUUCAGUUUUAUGAAAACCAGUAAACAAGCAAGCAAAAGGCAAUCAAGAGCCCUUUUAAAGAUGACAGGGAUGUAAACAAGCAGCCCAGGAUGCUCUUGAGCUUGUACCGUUACAGAUGUUCAACACCCUAAAUGUGUGGAUGCUGCAGGAGCUAGAAGAAGACAGCAGAAGGAACUUUUCAUUAGCCAAACAAAAACAGGAAAAGCUGUCCUGGACGUCUCACUAAAACAGAGACAUCUGCAUGGAUGUUUGUUCGGCUGCUCCCCAAAGUGGGACUUUUUUAUAUUCACACACACACACACACACACACACACAAAUAAAACACCCUCUGUCAGUGACAAUGGUUAGGAAAGGAAGUGGAACAGUAGAUUUUUCCCCUACUUGCUCUUUUAGCUUCCUGGACAGAUGUAGAGCAAAUGAAAGGGAACCCACGUUGUGUUUAAUGACCAACUGGCUCCAAAAAUCAGACAGCAGGAUGUUGUGAAGCCAACCUUCAGCAACAGAGACUACCUCACAGUUCUAUGAAUAAAACAUCCACAUCCUACGUGUGAUAUUUUUCUUAUUGAAGUUUAAAAACACACGUUGAAUGUGGACUUCUGCUCCGCGGCGCGCACUGCAGUGAGUGACCGUAUAGUCCACAGUCAUUCUGCGGCUGUGCGUCCUCUCAGCACCAUGUGCUUUGUGCACAUUUCAAUCUUUAGGCUAAAAUAAAAUAAAAAUAGAUUUAAAAAACUGCCUCGCAAACGCACGGACACAAUUCAUGCUGUGUGCAAAAUGCGUAAAAUGUGGAGCAUUAGAAUAAAAGAUCAACGCGGCUGCUGCUCCUGUAAACCGAAAGGAUCAACCUGCUUUGGACUGAACCCGCAGGUUCAGCCCAGCCUGCACACGGUGAUAAUGAAUAACAGCAGUAAUAAUAAUGAUGCUAAUAACAUGGUUUAUUCUAACAAGAGGCUCCGGCGCUCCUCACUUCAAGCGCUCCCUCUCUCUCUCUCUAUUGUUGAGAAACAAUCUGAGCCAAAGUGGAAACAAAACCAGACGAGCGCGAGGAAAUAAUAAGCAAGUGUGCAGCCACUCACCGGGUUACGAAGCGCAGAAAGUCCUCCGUAAAUGUCGCUUCUUGUUUUAUUUUUCCUCUCUCUCCUUUUAAAUCUCUUCCCCUCUCGCGGCCGCUCAGAAUGGGCUCAACGUCAGCGGCUGAGUAACUGAAUAGACUUGGAGAGAGCGCAGUAAGUUGAAGUGUCAAAUUACAUUGGCUAUUCUAUUACCGAAGAGACCGUGCUCGGUGGCUGCUGACAAAAUGUGUCGCGGAUUUCCUUCUUUGGGUUUCUUCCCCCCCACCCCCACCCCACGCCCCCUCGCUCUUUCUCAGACCACGGGAACUGCUCGGGAGCCACCUGGAUCAGAAAUAAUUGACUUUAACGCGCCAAAUAAAUAUUUUAUUGAUUUUUCUUAGACUAAAAUAACAAAACAUUGUGUUUAUUUUGUGUAAUUAAAAAUGAACUGACGCAUCAAACUGGAUUUUAAAGAUAAAACAGUAAACUUACUUAAAUUAUAAUGUCCUGGUUUUAUUCUAAUAAAUUGCCCGCGCGCCCUGCCACGAGCGCACUGGCGCGAGCGCAAUCCCUCCCGCGAGCCGCCCUCCGUGUUUUGCAGCUUGCCGCUCUCUGAUGGAAAGCUCUGAAUAACAAAGACAUGUUUGAGAGAAGCAGCAGCGGCGGCGGCAUCAGUAGCAGCAGCAGGCUGGGCUGAGCGCUGACGUCAAGGAGCCAUGACUGAGCCAAACAUCACACACACACACACACACACACACACACACACACACGCGCACACACACACGCGCACACACACACCCUGCUGGUAGUGGCUCUUCAAAGUUCUGAUCGGGGUCAGUUUGGAGUCUACACACGCUUACAUAAAAACAUCCACAUGAACUC